rnacentral:tRNA from 1 species
GGAAAGAUGGCCGAGCGGACGAUGGCACUGGUUUUGAACACCAGCAUCCCAUCCGGGAUUCGGGGGUUCGAAUCCCUCUCUUUCCG